CAGUAGCCACGGUAAUACGUAGGGUGCGAGCGUUAAUCGGAUUUACUGGGCGUAAAGCGUGCGCAGGCGGCCCGUUAAGACAGGUGUGAAAUCCCUGGGCUCAACCUAGGAACUGCGCUUGUGACUGGCGGGCUCGAGUACGGUAGAGGGGGGUGGAAUUCCUGGUGUAGCAGUGAAAUGCGUAGAGAUCAGGGGGAACACCGAUGGCGAAGGCAGCCCCCUGGGCCUGUACUGACGCUCAUGCACGAAAGCGUGGGGAGCAAACAGGAUUAGAUACCCGAGUAGUCCCUGUCUCUUAUAC
rnacentral:rRNA from 1 species